GAUGAACGCUGGCGGCGUGCUUAACACAUGCAAGUCGAACGGAAAGGCUCCUGCUUGCAGGGGUACUCGAGUGGCGAACGGGUGAGUAACACGUGGGUGAUCUGCCCUGCACUUCGGGAUAAGCCUGGGAAACUGGGUCUAAUACCGGAUAGGACGAUGGUUUGGAUGCCAUUGUGGAAAGUUUUUCGGUGUGGGAUUCGCUCGCGGCCUAUCAGCUUGUUGGUGGGGUAAUGGCCUACCAAGGCGUCGACGGGUAGCCGGCCUUAGAGGGUGUACGGCGACAUUGGGACUGAGAGACGGCCCAGACGCCUACGGGAGGCAGAGGUGGGGAAUAUUGCACAAUGGGCGCAAGCCUGAUGCAGCGACGCCGCGUGGGUGAUGACGGCUUUCGGGUUGUAAACACCUUUCGCUAGGGACGAAGCGCAAGUGACGGUACCUGGAGAAGAAGCACCGGCUAACUACGUG
rnacentral:rRNA from 1 species